rnacentral:rRNA from 1 species
AGUGAACGCUGGCGGUAGGCCUAACACAUGCAAGUCGAACGGCAGCACAGUAAGAGCUUGCUCUUACGGGUGGCGAGUGGCGGACGGGUGAGGAAUACAUCGGAAUCUACUUUUUCGUGGGGGAUAACGUAGGGAAACUUACGCUAAUACCGCAUACGACCUACGGGUGAAAGCAGGGGAUCUUCGGACCUUGCGCGAUUGAAUGAGCCGCUGUCGGAUUAGCUAGUUGGCGGGGUAAAGGCCCACCAAGGCGACGAUCCGUAGCUGGUCUGAGAGGAUGGGCAGCCACACUGGAACUGAGACACGGUCCAGACGCCUACGGGAGGGGGCAGUGGGGAAUAUUGGACAAUGGGCGCAAGCCUUAUCCAGCCAUACCGCGUGGGUGAAGAAGGCCUUCGGGUUGUAAAGCCCUUUUGUUGGGAAAGAAAAGCAGCAGGUUAAUACCCCGCUGUUCUGACGGUACCCAAAGAAUAAGCACCGGCUAACUUCGUG